rnacentral:siRNA from 1 species
UGGACAUGUUGAAUGGAUCAGUUG